GACAGGAAACAACUGGGACACACACACACUGGCUCCAGAUGGUUCGGUGACCCCAGUGCUGGAAGGAAUGCGUUCGCUACGAGAAGAACUUGCAGAGAACUCUGAAGUGGACACUAAUAUGUUUGACUGGUCUGAUUCUGUAUUUGCUAAAUAAAAAGCCUUAGUGAUGCCCAUA